rnacentral:rRNA from 1 species
GCGCAGGGUGGAUGCCUUGGCACUAAGAGCCGAAGAAAGACGUGAUAAGCUGCGAUAAGCUGCGGCAAGGAGCAAAUAUCCGAUGACCCGCAGAUUUCUGAAUGGGGAAACCCGGCAGGAAAGACUCCUGUCAUCCAUACGCCAAUCCAUAACGUAUGGAAGGGAACCCGGUGAACUGAAACAUCUAAGUAGCCGGAGGAAGAGAAAGAAACAUCGAUUUCCAGAGUAGCGGCGAGCGAAACGGAAAGAGCCCAAACCGUGGUGCGUGCACCGCGGGGUAAGGACCGUCAGAAGUGACUGGGAAGGUAGCAGAAUGGCUUUGGGAAAGCCAGCCGGAGAGGGUGAAAGCCCCGUAAGCGAAACCGGAACAGAGCGGACGGAAUCCGGAGUACCACGAGACACGAGAAACCUUGUGGGAAGGAAGGGGGACCACCCCCUAAGGCUAAAUACUACUUAGUGACCGAUAGCGCAUAGUACUGUGAAGGAAAGGUGAAAAGAACCCCGGGAGGGGAGUGAAAGAGAACCUGAAACCCUGUGUUUACAAACUGUGGAACCACGAUUAAGGUGGAACCGCGUACUUUUUGUAGAACGGUCCGGCGAGUUGCACUGUCCGGCAAGGUUAAGCAUGAAACAUGCGGAGCCGGAGGGAUACCAAGUCUGAAGAGGGCGUAAAGUCAGACAGUGCAGACCCGAAACCGGGUGAUCUAUCCAUGUCCAGGUUGAAGCUGCUGUAAAAGGCGGUGGAGGACCGAACCCACAUCCGUUGAAAAGGGUGGGGAUGAGGUGUGGAUAGGGGAGAAAUUCCAAUCGAACCCGGAGAUAGCUGGUUCUCCUCGAAAUAGCUUUAGGGCUAGCCUCGCAUUAGUCACACGCAGGUAGAGCACUGAAUUCCUAAGGGGGCGUCAAAGCUUACCAAGGGAUAUCAAACUCCGAAUGCCGCAUAAAUGAUGUACGGGAGUCAGACUGCACGAGAUAAGUUGGGCAGUCAAAAGGGAAAGAGCCCAGACCUUCAGUUAAGGUCCCAAAGUGUGCGUUAAGUGGAAAAGGAUGUGGGAUUUCGAAGACAACCAGGAUGUUGGCUCAGAAGCAGCCAUUCAUUCAAAGAGUGCGUAAUAGCUCACUGGUCGAGAGGUCCUGCGCCGAAAAUGUCCGGGGCUGAAACACGACACCGAAGCUGUGGACUUGCCUAUGGCAAGUGGUAGAGGAGCAUUCUUAACUGCGGCGAAGCAGUACCGAUAAGGAGCUGUGGAGUGUUAAGAAGAGAGAAUGCCGGAAUGAGUAGCGAGAUGGAGGUGGGAAUCCUCCAGGCCGAAUAUCCAAGGUUUCCAGGGUAAAGCUGAUCUGCCCUGGGUAAGUCGGGGCCUAAGGCGAGGUCGAAGGACGUAGCCGAUGGACAACAGGUUGAAAUUCCUGUACUGCAUGAUGACAGAACUGUGGGGACACGGGCAGAAAGCCUGGGCCGGAAAUGGAAAAGCCGGUGCAAGCGGAGGAGCCGUGUAGGAGGAAAAACCCCUAUGCAAGGCAGAGCCGUGACGCGGAGCGAAAUAAAAGUAGCGAAGCAGGCGGGCUGGCCGUCAAGAAAAGCCGCUAUUGUUCAUCAUGUACCCGUACCGCAAACCGACACAGGUGGAUGAGGAGAGAAUCCUAAGGCCGGCGGAAGAAGUAUUGUUAAGGAACUCGGCAAAAUGACCCCGUAACUUCGGGAGAAGGGGUGCCUGCGAGAGCAGGCCGCAGAGAAUAGGCUCAAGCAACUGUUUAGCAAAAACACAGGUCUAUGCGAAACCGAAAGGUGAGGUAUAUGGGCUGACGCCUGCCCGGUGCUGGAAGGUUAAGAGGAGAGGUUAGCGCAAGCGAAGCUUUGAAUCCAAGCCCCAGUAAACGGCGGCCGUAACAAUAACGGUCCUAAGGUAGCGAAAUUCCUUGUCGGGUAAGUUCCGACCCGCACGAAAGGCGUAAUGAUUUGGGCGCUGUCUCGACAAUGCAUCCGGUGAAAUUGAAGUACCAGUGAAGAUGCUGGUUACCCGCGCCAGGACGGAAAGACCCCAUGGAGCUUUACUCCAGUUUGAUACUGGGAUUCGGUGCUGCAUGUACAGGAUAGGUGGGAGGCUGAGAAUUAAGGACGCCAGUCUUUAAGGAGCCGGUGUUGGGAUACCACCCCUGCAGUAUUGGAUUUCUAACCUGCGGCCGUAAGCCGGCCGGGGGACAAUGUCAGACGGGGAGUUUGACUGGGGCGGUCGCCUCCGAAAGGGUAUCGGAGGCGCUCAAAGGUUCCCUCAGAAUGGU